rnacentral:hammerhead_ribozyme from 1 species
AUCCAGCUAACGAGUCCCAGACAGGACGAAACGCGCUUCCCGGAU